GGGCAGUUAGCUCAGCGGUGAGAGCGUCCGUCUUACACACGGAAGGUCGGGGGUUCGAGUCCCUCACUGCCCA
rnacentral:tRNA from 1 species